GCUUAGGUCCGUGGUUGGAAGUCGAUGCCAGUUGCAGGCAAAACGAUCCACGUAAGGAGUCCAAAGAGGCUCUGAUCAUGGUGCAGCUUAGAGGUAAGACCUGCCGGGAUUUAUUUGUACAUAAUUGAUGUGAUACCCGAGAGAUUUAGUAGUGAGGGAAGGACUUUCUAGUAGCGAACUUUCCAGCAGGCGAGUGUGGGGUCAAAAACCAGGUCGGCUAGG
rnacentral:ncRNA from 1 species